rnacentral:rRNA from 1 species
GUAACGGCGAGUGAAGCGGCAACAGCUCAAAUUUGAAAUCUGGCUCCCCCCUGGGGGGCCCGAGUUGUAAUUUGGAGAGGAUGCUUUGGGCGCGGCGCCUUCCGAGUUCCUUGGAACAGGACGCCAGAGAGGGUGAGAGCCCCGUACGGUCGGACGCCUAGCCCGUGCAAAGCUCCUUCGACGAGUCGAGUAGUUUGGGAAUGCUGCUCAAAAUGGGAGGUAAAUUUCUUCUAAAGCUAAAUACCGGCCAGAGACCGAUAGCGCACAAGUAGAGUGAUCGAAAGAUGAAAAGCACUUUGAAAAGAGGGUUAAACAGCACGUGAAAUUGUUGAAAGGGAAGCGCCUGUGGCCAGACGUGCGCCCCGCGGACCACCCGUCGCUCUGCGGCGGGGCACGCCGCGGCGGCGCAGGCCAGCAUCGGCUCUCCCAGGGGGACAAAGGCCGCGGGAACGUAGCUCCUUCGGGAGUGUUAUAGCCCGCGGCGCCAUGCCUCUGGGGGGGCCGAGGACCGCGCCUUCGGGCAAGGAUGCUGGCGUAAUGGCCACCAGCGACCCGUCUUGAAACACGGACCAAGGAGUCAAGCAUUGGGGCGAGUGUUUGGGUGACAAACCCGCACGCGAAAUGAAAGUGAACGCAGGUGGGAGCCUCCGGGCGCACCACCGACCGAUCCUGAAGUUUUCGGAUGGAUUUGAGU